UUAUAACCACAUUAUGAACUAUUUAAUAUUUUCAAGAAGUCAUUCCCUGUGCCCAUAUUAAAUUAAUUUGCAACAGAAUAUUAUAUAAUUUAUAUAUGCAUACAUAUAAUAAAUUAUAGCCUGACUAUAUAAUUCUACAUGUAUAAUUAAUUACAUUAACCAACUACAUUUUAAGCCUACAAUUAGAUAACCCUAAAAGACAACCCCGUUAGCAUUUUUUAAUAAAUACUUGUGUUUGGAGCUGUUUAACAGAGCACCUGAUCGCUGAUAGAGCAGUGUUAACAUCUGUUCCAUUAUUUCCAGAGGACGUUGGCUGAACGCAAUACUAUUCACAUAAAAUAUGCAUUUGUUCUUGACUGUCAAGUACCUCUAUUAUUUUAUUAAAAAGUCAAAAAAGAAUAUAAUCAGACUUCAUAAUUUAUGUGUGACAUUUUCAUUACAGAAAACUUUAUGCAAAAUUGAAUUCUAAAAUUUAAUUUCCUGUGAUGUUUAAAUUACUUACUAUCUGGCUCCUCUCCAAACAUCGUGAUCAUUGAAGGCCCCAUAUGAAUUCUAUUAAGGAUACAUUUUCCUGCUGCCAGAAAAUACAGGGUAUUUUUCCUAAGUCACUCUAAGAAUAUGCUUCUUAAAUCUAUUUUGUGCCAGGUUAAAUAGUUUUUCUCACGCAGAAAAGAAAAGCAGGAACUUUUCUCUCUUCUCUCUCUCUUUUUUUUUUCUAAAACCACAGACAGAUUUUAUCUGCUUCUCUCCUUCCCACCUUGUUGAUGAACUCUUGCUCCUGAUCCUUAACCCAAAAGAAACCAGGCUGGUCCAGCCUUGUCAGGUAGGGCUCACCACAUCCCAGGACGAUAACCAGGUUCCCUCUGGCUUGCUCUCUCUUUCAGGAAGUGCAGAACACGAGCUUGGUCCAGAAGAGGGCCCUCCGUGGGGAAGUCUGAGCAUCUCUCUUGGCCAGUCGCUGGAGGUGGUGGCCGCCGCCUCCUUCCGCUGCUCCCUGUGGCCGCCACGCCAAUGGGGGCAACCCGGACUUAGCACAGCAGUUCCCAAGGUUUCAUUGGAUGUCUACUUCCCCGCAAGGCAGAUGGUCCAGCAAAGUCCCAUCUAA
rnacentral:lncRNA from 1 species